UGCGACGUCGGACAAUCCCUCGAAUAAAUCGAUAAAUAAUCCACCUACCGUAUGCUCGAUGGUGUCCAGGUCGUCGC
rnacentral:pre_miRNA from 1 species